CCUACGGGAGGCAGCAGUAAGGAAUAUUGGACAAUGGUCGCAAGACUGAUCCAGCCAUGCCGCGUGAAGGAUGAAUGCCUAUGGGUUGUAAACUUCUUUUACGAAACCCCUGGUACCGUAAGAAUAAGGAUCGGCUAACUUCGUGCCAGCAGCCGCGGUAAUACGAAGGAUUCGAGCGUUAUCCGGAUUUAUUGGGUUUAAAGGGUGCGUAGGUGGACUAAUAAGUCAGUGGUGAAAGCCCGCAGCUUAACUGCGGAACUGCCAUUGAUACUGUUAGUCUUGAGUACAGUUGAGGUGGGCGGAAUGUGUCAUGUAGCGGUGAAAUGCUUAGAUAUGACACAGAACACCGAUUGCGAAGGCAGCUCACUAAGCUGUACUGACACUGAGGCACGAAAGCGUGGGGAGCAAACAGGAUUAGAUACCCUUGUAGUC
rnacentral:rRNA from 1 species